AAAAACAUGUCCUUUAGAAUUUAAUUUAAGGUCUAACCUGCCCACUGAAUUAAAUGGCCGCAGUAUUUUAACUGUGCAAAGGUAGCAUAAUCAUUAGUCUUUUAAUUGAAGGCUCGUAUGAAUGGUUGGACGAAAUAUUAACUGUUUCAUAAAAAUUGAAUUAGAAUUUUAUUUUUUAGUUAAAAAGCUAAAAUGAUUUUAAAAGACGAGAAGACCCUAUAGAUCUUUAUAAUUUAUAUAUUAUAAUUAUUUAGAUUAUUUAAGUUAUGAUUUUAUAAAUUAUUUUGUUGGGGUGACAUUAAAAUUUAAUUAACUUUUAAUUAAUUUUUACAUUGAUGUAUGAUUAGUUGAUCCAUUAGUAAUGAUUAAAAAAUUAAGUUACCUUAGGGAUAACAGCGUAAUUUUUUUGAAGAGUUCAUAUCGAUAAAAAAGAUUGCGACCUCGAUGUUGGAUUAAGAUAUAAUUUUGGGUGCAGCAAUUCAAUUAUUAAGUCUGUUCGACUUUUAAUUUCUUACAUGA
rnacentral:rRNA from 1 species